GACGAACGCUGGCGGCGUGCUUAACACAUGCAAGUCGAACGGUAAGGCCCCUUCGGGGGUACACGAGUGGCGAACGGGUGCGUAACACGUGAGCAACCUGCCCUUGACUCUGGAAUAACAGUUGGAAACAGCUGCUAAUACUGGAUAUUCAUCGUCUCCUUCCUGGGGGGUGGUGGAAAGCUCCGGCGGUCAGGGAUGGGCUCGCGGCCUAUCAGCUUGUUGGUGAGGUAAUGGCUCACCAAGGCUUCGACGGGUAGCCGGCCUGAGAGGGCGACCGGCCACACUGGGACUGAGAUACGGCCCAGACUCCUACGGGAGGCAGCAGUGGGGAAUAUUGCACAAUGGGCGCAAGCCUGAUGCAGCAACGCCGCGUGCGGGAUGACGGCCUUCGGGUUGUAAACCGCUUUCAGUAGGGACGAAGGGUGACUGGCGGUACCUACAGAAGAAGGACCGGCUAACUACGUG
rnacentral:rRNA from 1 species